rnacentral:rRNA from 1 species
GAUGAACGCUGGCGGCGUGCCUAAUACAUGCGAGUCGAGCGAACGGACGAGAAGCUUGCUUCUCUGAUGUUAGCGGUGGACGGGUGAGUAACACGUGGAUAACCUACCUAUAAGACUGGGAUAACUUCGGGAAACCGUAGCUAAUACCGGAUAAUAUUUUGAACCGCAUGGUUCAAAAGUGAAAGACGGUCUUGCUGUCACUUAUAGAUGGAUCCGCGCUGCAUUAGCUAGUUGGUAAGGUAACGGCUUACCAAGGCAACGAUGCAUAGCCGACCUGAGAGGGUGAUCGGCCACACUGGAACUGAGACACGGUCCAGACUCCUACGGGAGGCAGCAGUAGGGAAUCUUCCGCAAUGGGCGAAAGCCUGACGGAGCAACGCCGCGUGAGUGAUGAAGGUCUUCGGAUCGUAAAACUCUGUUAUUAGGGAAGAACAUAUGUGUAAGUAACUGUGCACAUCUUGACGGUACCUAAUCAGAAAGCCACGGCUAACUACGUG